GCAGCCAUGCCGCGUGUAUGAAGAAGGCCUUCGGGUUGUAAAGUACUUUCAGCAGUGAGGAAGGGGGUGUCGUUAAUAGCGGCAUCUCUUGACGUUAGCUGCAGAAGAAGCACCGGCUAACUCCGUGCCAGCAGCCGCGGUAAUACGGAGGGUGCGAGCGUUAAUCGGAAUUACUGGGCGUAAAGCGCAUGCAGGUGGUUUGUUAAGUCAGAUGUGAAAGCCCGGGGCUCAACCUCGGAACUGCAUUUGAAAACUGGCAAACUAGAGUACUGUAGAGGGGGGGUAGAAUUUCAGGUGUAGCGGUGAAAUGCGUAGAGAUCUGAAGGAAUACCAGUGGCGAAGGCGGCCCCCUGGACAGAUACUGACACUCAGAUGCGAAAGCGUGGGGAGCAAACAGGAUUAGAUACCCUGGUAGUCCACGCCGUAAACGAUGUCUACUUGGAGGUUGUGGCCUUGAGCCGUGGCUUUCGGAGCUAACGCGUUAAGUAGACCGCCUGGGGAGUACGGUCGCAAGAUUAAAACUCAAAUGAAUUGACGGGGGCCCGCACAAGCGGUGGAGCAUGUGGUUUAAUUCGAUGCAACGCGAAGAACCUUACCUACUCUUGACAUCCAGAGAACUAGCAGAGAU
rnacentral:rRNA from 1 species